CUAAUCCUUAUCUUUUCAUUUUGCUCUUAUCCUUCUUUCUUUUCUUCCCUCCUCUCACGGCGGCAGAACUCUUACCUUGAAUUCUUCUUCUUCCACUCCAAAUACACUAACAUUACGAUUUAAGAAGCUACUGAUGAUGAAAAUCUUAGAUCAGUUUCUUAAUCUACAACAAAUCAUGGGGACAAAGUUAAGGAAAAAAAAAUACCCCGAAGGGUUACAGCUUAGGGCUUGUUUUGUUUUUGGAAUCACUGAAGUUUUAUUAGUCAUCAACUACCAAACCAAAUGUGAUGCUCAAGUUGUUGAAAGGUUUUGAGCCAAAGCUCGGGAUCAAGAUUACUUGUUCUCAAGAGAGUCAACCAUUAGGUGGGAAGGGAAGAAGGAUUGGAAAAUUGAUUUCUGCAGCACAGCAGAGGUUUAUGUUUCCAGAGAACAGUGUUGAACUUUUUGCUGAGAAAGUGAUAAUAAUGAAGAGAGGAUAUGAAUCAACUUCUAAUCAAGGCAAAGGACAGAUCAUGAUGGUGUGUUAUGACUGGGUGCAGAAAAUUACAGGCCAUCUACUGCUAAGUCGUUGACCAUUUUCCAACUCGCAAAGUGAAGUUAUAUAGACAAAGAUGUAGGAUGUGGAGGAUGGAAGAGAAAGAAGUUCAACGUUUUGAUUGACCAACUCGUGAUAUGCCAGUGUAAGUAACUCAUUUAAUCUAGCAUGGAACAGUAUUACGAAAGGUCCAAAACUUCUCGGAAGUUCUUAGAGCAAAUCCUAUGGGUAGUGUCACUCUUUCAUUUGAAAGAGUGCACUACCAAUUUGAGCAAAUUAGGGUCUCCAAUGGGUAGGCUUCGACCCACUUUUCCCCCAAAUCCUUUCAGACACUCGUUCAUAUGAACGAGUGGUUGGGAGUUUCACACUAGACGGGGUACUAUCCCCCGUCGGGAAAAAGAAAGCUUUUAGCACAAAACGGGGGACAGUUCCCCUUUAAAACUUUUUUUUUUCGCUUUAUUUUUUUUUGACGGGGGGGGGGGGGGACUAUCACCCGUCCAUGUAGCUUUUUUUUUUUAGUUUUUUUUGUUUGAUGGGAGAUUGUCCCCAUCAAAGAAGAUUUUUUGUCUAAGAAGAUUUUUUUUUUUUUUUGGACGGGGGACAUAACAGUCCCCGUCUAGUCCAAAAUCCAUUUUUUUUAAUUAAACGUGAGACUGUCUCCCGGAUAGCGUCUUUUUUUUGUAUUUGCCCAUAGUAGCUUCACUCAUUCAUAUGGGCGAGUAGUCUUUCAUGUGAACUAGUAGUCUCCAAAUGGAGACUACCCAUAGGAUCUGCUCUUAGUACAUGUUUUAGUUUGGGAUGUAAAGUUUUAUGGAGUAUGAUUUUGGUAUGUACAGUUUCGUCUGGUGUUAUGUUAUAAUUGAAAAAUAUUUUGGAUGUUAAUGACAUUUAAAUUGAA